CCUCAUACGAUAGAACCCUCUUUUAGCAAAGGGAGAUGCGCGCGUGAAAAUUCAUUUCAGUGCGCGUUAAAUUUGUCCUCCGCCAAGCCCAAAGAUGUCCGAUAAUUUAAAAAUCGUACAAAUUCCUGAGGAUCGUUACGUCGAAGCUAUCGAUCAUUUGAAAUGGAACUUCUUCGCGGAUGAACCAUUAAAUCAGGCUGUUGGAUUAUGCGAAAAGGGUAAAUCUCAUUACGAACUUGAAAGACAUUGUCUGUUGACUUUAAAUCAGGGAUACUCAAGGAUGCUAGUGACCGAAACUGGAACUAUAGCAGGUAUGACUCUAAAUGGUGUUUUAAAUGAAGAGGAAAGAGACGAAGCUAGUCGACGACUUGAAGAAAUAAACGACAAACAAUUUAAAACAAUUUUCGGUCAACUGUACAAAGUCAACAAAAAAGUUGAUCUAUUUAAAAAAUACAAUGUCCAGGAAUUAUUCGAAUGUCGCAUUUUAAGCGUAGAUGAGAAUUUUCGCGGGAAAGGCUUGGCAAAUAUUUUAAUGUCCGAUAGUCUUGAAGUAGCAAGGAAAGCUGGUUUCAAGCAUGUACUUCACUUAAUAAUAUGCAUGGGAUGAUUUUCAUUUACAAUGGUGUCAAUUACAAAAUGCACUCAUUCUUGUAUUUUUCUGAAAGGUGUUCAAAGCUGAUGCUACUGGUAUGUAUUCUCAAAAGGUUUGUUUAAAGCACGGCUUUCAAGUCGAAGCAGAGAUUCCUUACACAGA
rnacentral:misc_RNA from 1 species